UUGAUGGUGGCUCAGAUUGAACGCUGGCGGCAUGCCUUACACAUGCAAGUCGAACGGCAGCACGGAGCUUGCUCUGGUGGCGAGUGGCGAACGGGUGAGUAAUAUAUCGGAACGUACCCUGGAGUGGGGGAUAACGUAGCGAAAGUUACGCUAAUACCGCAUACGAUCUAAGGAUGAAAGUGGGGGAUCGCAAGACCUCAUGCUCGUGGAGCGGCCGAUAUCUGAUUAGCUAGUUGGUAGGGUAAAAGCCUACCAAGGCAUCGAUCAGUAGCUGGUCUGAGAGGACGACCAGCCACACUGGAACUGAGACACGGUCCAGACUCCUACGGGAGGCAGCAGUGGGGAAUUUUGGACAAUGGGCGAAAGCCUGAUCCAGCAAUGCCGCGUGAGUGAAGAAGGCCUUCGGGUUGUAAAGCUCUUUUGUCAGGGAAGAAACGGUGAAGGCUAAUAUCCUUU
rnacentral:rRNA from 1 species